UGGCCACAUGACGUUGAAACACCAGUUCUCGUAAGAUCAUUGAAGUAAAGCAGCAUCCUACCUGAUCAGUACCUAAAUGGGUGACCGCUUGGGAAUACCCGGUGUUGUAG